GAAAGGCCUGGGAGUCCUGCAGAAUCUUUGCUUAGCCUGGAGGUAAAGAUCCCUUGAAUGCUGUAGGUCUCCUGUCAAGAUUCUCCGGCUCAAAAUGUGGGGCAGAAACCACCAGCAGAACCAUGCCAGCCAACUGGCUUGGAAGAGGGUGCUCCUGUGUGGGCCCCAGAAGGAUGGAGCUGGGAAGCAGGAAGGAGGAAGCACAACAGCGCGGCUCUGUCACACGCCUUCGCACAACAGUCUGUCAGCAAGAGCCAAGGUUUCAGUGAAAACAAGCCUUUCCUCACUGCCUGCGGCCCACAUGGACACCCAGGAUCCAGGCACGGUUGCUGGGGGAAGAGGACUCGGCCCUGCUUCAGGGAGCAGCACCAGAGAUGGGAGAAGGAAAAUAAUAUGGGUGUCAUGGCUUUUCCUAAAACAGAGGUUCCUAAACAGGACUGCACAGCUCCAAGUAGCCCCGGGUCCCCUAUGGGCGCAGGCCUAGGCAGAGAGUCACCAGUCAAAAUAUAAGACACUCAGUUAAAUCUGGAUAUCAGACAAACAAAAAAAUUUUUAGUAUGUCCCAUGCAGUUUUGGGAUCUACUUAUACCUUAAAAAUUACUUUUCUGAAAUUCAAACUUAACCGUAUUUUUAAUUACUAACCUGGCAAACUUACUUAGGUGUGCUGCUUUUCUUUUAUUUACCUUGGGGCUUAGGUUAAAUUUUUUUGGAAUCAAGAUUUUUGCUGCCAAAAGCACGAGAGUUUUGAAAGUCAUGCCUAGAUCUUCGUGUGUUUUUUUUUACAUUGAAAAACUU